GCCCGGGCGGCGGCGAUGCUGUGGCCGCGGCUGGCGGCGGCCGAGUGGGCGGCGCUGGCCUGGGAGCUGCUGGGCGCCUCGGUGCUGCUGAUCGCUGUGCGGUGGCUGGUACGGCGGCUGGGCCCGCGGCCGGGGGGUCUGGGCCGCAGCGGGACCCCAGUUCCUCCGCCAAGCGCGGCCGCCGCCCCCGCCCCAGGUAAGGCCCAGGCGGUCGCUGGGCCCCCGCACCCUGGCCCCCUUCCGCGCCCCGACGCCCUCCUCGGGCCCGGGUCCCGGGCCGCGCCCCUCGAGCUCCUGGAGCCGGCAGCAGUUGGGCGAGGCCGCCGGAGCAACCAGGGCCGCUCGGGAAAGGCCAUUCCGGCCGCGGAAAGGGCAGUUGCGGGAGACUUGGCUUCCCGGGGCGGGGGCGGAGGGGCCACGCCGGGUUCGGGGGUGAAAGCUUUUCCGGGCCCGGGAGCAGCCUCCGGGGAAGGCGGCGGGGGCCCGGCGAGGCGUUAGCGGAGGAGACUCUUGCUGCAGUCUAUCGAGACCUGGGGAGGGAUGGCCCAAAGCGGGGCGGCGCGGCGCGGCGCGGGGAGGAAGCCCCUGGGUCCCGGAUGUGUUUGGAAUGUGAAGCCACUGCAGUUACUGGUCAUUGAACAUAAGGCAGAGACGGAAAAGGCAAAUGUAACUUAGGGGUUUGGGGCCAGAGGAAACGGGAGAAGGUGGCCAUUUAUUGCUUUGGGUAGACUGUCGGGUCUGGGUGAUGUGGAGAUCAGAGGUGGGUUUUGGUCCUUUUAAGUUUGAGGUAAAUGAUACAGUGAACUGUGUAUUUCACCUCCAUUCCCUUUUCCUGGCAUACAGCUCCUGAAAUCCCGGGAACCUCCAAAGUGAUGUCUUUUGUAGGCUGAGUGGACUGGUGGCCGGCAGCCCCUAGGGAGCUUCUGGAUGGGGCUGGUCGCAGGAAAGACCGAGGCAGGGUUAGAGGUUCUGGGGACUUUCAGUCCCACCCCCAACCUCCGGGGAGGGGAGAGGGGUGAAGGUUGAGUUGAUCAGCAGUGGCUGAUGAAUCAUGCCUGUGAAAUGAAGUCUCUGUAAAAACCCAAAAGGGCUGGCUUCAGGGAGCUUCCAGAUAGUACGUGGGGGUUCCUGGAGGCGGUGCCCAGAGAGGCCCUGAAUUUCCAAGCGCUUCCCCCCGGUUUUACCUCACGCAUCUCUUCACCUGUAUUCUUUGUAAUCCUUUAUACUCUGCUGGUAAGUGUAAGUAAAACAUGUCUGUGAGUUCGGGAGCCACUCUAGCAAAUUACCGCAACCUGAGGAGGUCACCGGGUUACACCCCGUCAGUCCGAAGCGCAGGUCAAACAACGUGGGCACUGGAAAUGGGGGGCAGUUUUGUGGGGCUGAGCCCCUAACCUGUGGGGUCUGCUGGUAUCUCCGGGAAGACGCUGUCAGAAUAGAUGACUGAAUUAGGAUGACAGACGACACCCAGCCUGUGUCCACUGCAGAACUGAUGACCUGCGUGAUUCGUGGGGAGAAAACCCCCACAUAUCUGGCGUCUGAAGCAUGUUGCAAGACUAGUGGGGGUAACUGAGUUUGUUUUUACUCUAAAUUGUCAGACUGUUAGUCACUGCGGAGCGGUGCUUUCUGAUGAUUGAGUGGGGAUUCCUGUCCAAUUGUGUGAGUUUGUGUCCUGGCCCUACCACUUUUUUUUUUUUUAAGAUGGAGUCUCACUCUGUCGCCCAGGCUGGAGUGCAGUGGUGCGAUCUCGGCUCACUGCAAGCUCCUUCUCCCGGGUUCAAGCGAUUCUCCUGCCUCAGCCUCCCGAGUAGCUGGGAUUACAGGCGCCUGCCACCACGCCCGGAUGAUUUUUCUAUUUUUAGUAGAGAGGGGCUUUCACCUUGUUGGCCAGGAUGGUCUCGAAUUCCUGACCUCAGGUGAUCCACCUGCCUCAUCCUCCCAAAAUGCUGGGAUUACAGGUGUGAGCCAUCGCACCGGGCCCUACCACUUAUUGCUGGAGGCUUAACCUGUUUUCAGCCUGCUCAUUUAGGAAUAGGAAUGAUAGUAAUACCUGGUUAGGCUUUUUUGGGAGUUGGGUAAGUGCAGCACUUGGUAUGUGUUAAGCACCUCUCAGUGCUGUUACUGUCACCACCGGCAUCAUCCAGGCAGAGCUGCGGACAAGGUGGCGGGGGGUGAGGCCGGUGUUUUGAGAAUGGCUGAAAUAAAAAAUACUGAUAUUUUUGUUUAAUAUAAAAAUAUGUUUUUAUAUUACAUAUGAUGUAUAAUAUACGUAUAUUAUAUGGCAUAUAUUAUAUAUCGUAUGGCAUAUAUAAUACACGUAUAUCAUAUGGCACAUAUAAUACAUGUAUAUCAUAUAUAUAGUUAGCAGAGAUUUAGAGAAACUGGGUCUCGUGCAUUGUGGGUAGAGAUGGAAAGUGGUGCAGCUACUCUGGGAAUCAGCCUGGCAGGUUUUUAGGAAGCUAAACCUGCCCUGCAUUCCUGAGCUUUUAUUAGACAAAUGAAAAUGAUUUUCACACAAAAACCCAUAUUUGAUGUUCAUAGCAACUCUAUUUGUAAUUGCCAGAAACUGAAAUAACUCAGAUGGUUAAACUUGCAUAUCGAUACUCUGGGGAGCCGCUCCGCAGCGAUCCACUCUGCCACGUGGGUGCCCUGGGGUGCCACUCCGUGUGAUCCACUCUGCCACGUGGGUGGAUCUCAAGGGCAUUAUGCUGAAUAGGAAGAGCCAAUCUCAAAAGUUGUGUACUUGGCUGGGUGCGGUGGCUCACACCUGUAAUCCCAGCACUUUGGGAUGCCGAGGCAGGUGGAUCACAAGGUCAGGAGUUCAAGAUCAGCCUGGCCAACAUGGUGAGGCAAUCUCCACUAAAAAUACAAAAAAUUAGCUGGGCGUGGUGGCAGGUACCUGUAAUCCCAGCUACUCGGGAGGCUGAGGCAGCAGAAUUGCUUGAACCCAGGAGGUGGAGGUUGCCGUGAGCAGAGAUCAUGCCACUGCACUCCAGCCUGGGUGACAGAGCAAGACUCCAUCUCAAAAAAAAAAAAAAAAAUUGUUAAUGGAACGUUAUUACUCAGUGUUCAGACCUAGCUGUUUCUCACAUCUUUACCCAUCGAUCUGUCAAAGAUCAUGUGAUCAUACUGAUACUUCCAAUUUCAAUGCAGUGUCCGUGGGUUUAUUCUUUUUUUUAGAUGGAGUCUCACUCUGUUGUCCAGGCUAGAGGCUCAUUGCAACCUCUGCCUGCCCAGUUCAAGCGAUUCUCCCGCCUAGCCUGCUGAGUAGCUGGGAUGAUAGGUGUGUGCCACCAUGCCUGGCUAAUUUUUGUAUUUUUAGUAGAGACCUGGUUUCACCAUGUUGGCCAGGCUGGUCUCAAACUCCUGACCUCAAAUGAUCCACCCACCUUGGCCUCCCAAAGUGCUGGGAUUACUGGCAUGAGCCAGCCCCCUGGCUUUAUUCUAUACAGGCCCAGCCCCCUGGCUUUAUUCUAAUGCAAGAGUCAGUAAACUGUGGUCCAAACUGGCCGCCACCUAUUUUCCUAAGUAUAGUAAAGUUUUAUUGGAAUACAACCAUACCCUUUUGUUAUGUAUAUCUGUGGCGUCUUUUUUUUGGAGACGGGGUCUUGCUCUGUUGCCCAGGUUGGAGUGCAGUGUGGCACAAACAGGGCUCACUGCAUCCUCAAACUCUUGGGCUUAAUUUAUCCUCCUGCCUCAGCCCCCCAAGUAGUUGGAACCACAGAUGCACGUCACCACACUCAGCUAAUUUUUUUUUUUUUUUUUUUUUUGGGGACGGAGUCUCGCUCUGUUGCCCAGGCUGUAGUGCAGUGCCGCCAUCUCUGCUCACUGGAAGCUCUGCCCUCUGGGUUCACAGCAUUCUCCUGCCUCAGCCUCCUGAGUAGCUGGGACUACAGGCGCCCGCCACCAUGCCCAGCUAAUUUUUUUGUAUUUUUAGUAGAGACAGGGUUUCACUGUGUUAGCCAGGAUGGUCUCAAUCUCCUGACCUCGUGAUCCACCUGCCUCGGCCUCCCAAAGUGCUGGGGUUACAGGCGUGAGUCACCACACCCAGCCAUCAGCUAAUUUUUAAAGUUUUUGUAGAAAGGGUGUCGCCGUGUUGCCCAGGCUGGUCUUGAACUCCUGGGCUCAAGUGAUCUUCCCGCUUCGGCCUCCCCAAGCGCUGGGAUGACAGGUGUGAGCCACCACACCCGGCCUGUGGCUGUUCUGAGCACUCACGUGGCCUUUGGCUGAUAGAGUCUGAGAUGCUUACUCUCUCGCCCUUUACAGGAAUCGUUUGCUGAAACCCUGUUCUCACUCCCACUUUCCUUUCUGUCAUUGAGAGUCCUGGCUCUCAUCAGCCACCAUGUAUUCCAAUUAUUUACUUUGUCCUAGAGUCCACAGAAAAUAGCUUUAGGUGUGCUAACCUAUACCAUUGUGAAAACACCUACUGCCUAGAUCCUGUUCACACGGUAAUGGUGCACAGUUCUUUUUGUCUUUCUCCUUAGGGCACCUAGUCACUCACUGCUUUCCAAAGUUACGUAGGUUAGCUUCCCCUGUGUUAUCACUUGUAAUACAGUUAGGUUCAUUUCUUCUGGCUAGUAUUCCAUUUGGGUGUUUCCCCCAUCUUUUUGUUUAUUUACUUAUUUCUUUCUUUCUUUUUUUUUUUUUUUGAGAUGGAGUCUCGUUCUGUCACCCAGGCUGGAGUGUAGUGGCGCGAUCUCGGCUCACUGCGACCUCUGCCUCCUGGGUUCCAGCGAUUCUCCUGCCUCAGGUUCCCAAGUAGCUGGGAUUACAGGUGCCCGCCACUGCGCCUGGCUAAUUUUUGUAUUUUUUUUAGUAGAGAUGGGGUUUCACCAUCUUGGCCAGCCUGGUCUCGAACUGCUGACCUCGUGAUCCACCCACCUCGGUCUCCCAAAGUGCUGCGAUUACAGGCGUGAGCCACCGUGCCCAGCUUUACUUAUUUCUUGAGUGUGUAAAUCACGAACAUGUUUUUAAAAGUCAGAACCCUAUAGAAACUUAAAUUCAGAUGUAUUACUCCCCCCCCAUCUUUUUUGUUGUUGUUGUUGUUGAGACAGGGUCUGAUUCUGUCACCCAGGCUGGAGUGCAGGGCUGCCAUCUCAGCUCGUGGUGGCAUCCACCUCCCAGGCUCAAGUGAUCCUCCUGCCUCAUCCCCCUGAGUAGCUGGGGCUGUAGGCGUGCACUACUAUGCUCGGGUAAUUUUUUUUUUUUUGAAACGAGGUCUCGCUCUUGUCCCCUGGGCUGGAGUGCAGUGGCGUGAUUUCGGCUCAUUGCAACGUCCACCUACUGGGUUCAAGCAAUUCUCUUGCCUCAGCCUCUCGAGUAGCUGGGGUUACAGGCAUGUACCACCAUGCCCGGCUAAUUUUUGUAUUUUUAGUAGAGACGGGGUUUCACCAUGUUGGCCAGGCUGGUCUCGAACUCCUGACCUCAGGUGAUCCGCCUGCCUCCCAGAGAAUAUAACGGGCUGGGCAUGGUGGCUUAUGCCUGUAAUCCCAGCACUUUGGAAGGUCGAGGCGGGCGGAUCACCUGAGGUUGGGAGUUCAAGACCAGCCUGACCAACAUGGAGAAACCCCGUCUCUGCAAAGUACAAAAUUAGCUGGGCGUGGUGGUGCACGCCUGUAAUCCCAGCUACUCGGGAGGCUGAGGCAGGAGAACAGCUUGAACCCGAGAGGUGGAGGUUGCAGUGAGCCGAGAUCGCGCCACUGCACUCUAGCCUGCGUGACAGAGGAAGACUCUGUCUCAAAAAAAAAAAAGGCUCACGCCUGUAAUCCCAGCACUUUGGGAGGCCGAGGCGGGCAGAUCACCUGAGGUCAGGAGUUCGAGACCAGCCUGGCCAACAUGGAGAAACCCCGUCUCUACUGAAAAUACAAAAAUUAGCCGGGCGUGGUGGCAGACGCCUACUUGGGAGUACCACUCGGGAGCACCACUGCACUCCAGCCUGCGCGACAGACCGAGACACCAUCUCAAAAAAAAAAAAAAAAAAAAAAGAAUUUUUUUUUUUUGAGCUGGAGUUUCGCUCUUGUUGUCUAAGCUGGAGUGCAGGGGUGCAAUCUCGGCUCACUGCAGCCUCCGCCUCCUGGGUUCAAGCGAUUCUCCAGCCUCAGCCUCCCAAGUAGCUGGGAUUACAGGCAUCCACCACCACACCUGGCUAAUUUUUUGUAUUUUCAGUAGAGACAGGGUUUCACCAUGUUGGCUGGGCUGGUUUCGAACUCCUGACCUCAGGUGAUCCGCCCGCCUCAGCCUCCCAAAGUGCUGGGAUUACAGGCGUAAACCACCGCGCCCAGCCAAGAAAAAAAGUUUUUAAUGACAGAAAUAGAAACUGAUGCCAUUAUGUAAUGAACCCUAGUACCCAUCACCCAGCUUCAGCAGGUGUUAGUAUUUUGUGACUCUAUUUGAUUUUUUUGUCUUGGGCCUAGGUGAAAUGACAAUGGAUGCUGUGUUGGCUCGAUUGAAACUUCUGAAACCAGAUGACCUUAGAGAAGAAAUCAUCAAAGCCGGAUUGAAAUGUGGACCCAUUACAUCAACUACAAGGUUCAUUUUUGAGAAAAAAUUGGCUCAGGCUUUACUGGAGCAAGGAGGAAGGCUGCCUUCUUUCGACCACCAUGAGGCAGGUGUCACAGCUCUCAGCCAAGACCCACAAAGGAUUUUGAAGCCAGCUGAAGGGAACCCAACUGAUCAGGCUGGUUUUUCUGAAGACAGAGAAUUUGGUUACAGUGUGGGCCUGAAUCCUCCAGAGGAGGAAGCUGUGACAUCCAAGACCUGCUCAGUGGCCCCCAGUGCCACCGACACCUACAGAGCUGGAGUGACUGCGUCUAAGGAGCCGCCCCUGUACUAUGGGGUGUGUCCAGUGUAUGAGGACAUCCCAGUGAGAAAUGAAAGGAUCUAUGUUUAUGAAAAUAAAAAGGAAGCAUUGCAAGCUGUCAAGAUGAUCAAAGGGUCCCGAUUUAAAGCUUUUUCUACCAGAGAAGAUGCUGAGAAAUUUGCUAGAGGAAUUUGUGAUUAUUUCCCUUCUCCAAGCAAAACGUCCUUACCGCUGUCUCCUGUGAAAACAGCGCCACUCUUUAGCAAUGAUGGGUUGAAAGAUGGUUUGUGCUUGUCGGAAUCAGAAACAGUCAACAAAGAGCGAGCGAACAGUUACAAAAAUCCCCGCACUCAGGACCUCACCGCCAAGCUUCGGAAAGCUGUGGAGAAGGGAGAGGAGGACACCUUUUCUGACCUUAUCUGGAGCAACCCCCGGUAUCUGAUCGGCUCAGGAGACAACCCCACUAUCGUGCAGGAAGGGUGCAGGUACAACGUGAUGCAUGUUGCUGCCAAAGAGAACCAGGCUUCCAUCUGCCAGCUGACUCUGGACGUCCUGGAGAACCCCGACUUCAUGAGGCUGAUGUACCCUGAUGACGACGAGGCCAUGCUGCAGAAGCGCAUCCGCUACGUGGUUGACCUGUACCUAAACACCCCCGACAAGAUGGGCUAUGACACACCGUUGCAUUUUGCUUGUAAGUUUGGAAAUGCAGAUGUAGUCAACGUGCUUUCGUCACACCAUUUGAUUGUAAAAAACUCAAGGAAUAAAUAUGAUAAAACACCUGAAGAUGUAAUUUGUGAAAGAAGCAAAAAUAAAUCUGUGGAACUGAAGGAGCGGAUCAGAGAGUAUUUAAAGGGUCACUACUACGUGCCCCUCCUGAGAGCAGAAGACACUUCUUCUCCCGUCAUCGGGGAGCUGUGGUCCCCAGACCAGACGGCUGAGGCCUCUCACGUCAGCCGCUAUGGAGGCAGCCCCAGAGACCCGGUGCUGACCCUGAGAGCCUUCGCAGGGCCCCUGAGUCCCGCCAAGGCAGAAGAUUUUCGCAGACUCUGGAAAACUCCACCUCGAGAGAAAGCAGGCUUCCUUCACCACGUCAAGAAAUCGGACCCGGAAAGAGGCUUUGAGAGAGUGGGAAGGGAGCUAGCUCAUGAGCUUGGGUAUCCCUGGGUUGAAUACUGGGAAUUUCUGGGCUGUUUUGUUGAUCUGUCUUCCCAGGAAGGCCUGCAAAGACUAGAAGAAUAUCUUACACAGCAGGAAAUAGGCAAAAAAGCUCAACAAGAAACAGGAGAACAGAAAGCCUCUUGCCGAGAUAAAGCCACCAUGUCUGGCAGCAAUUCCAUUUCCGUGAGGGCGUUUCUAGAUGAAGAUGACAUGAGCUUGGAAGAAAUAAAAAAUCGGCAAAAUGCAGCUCGAAAUAACAGCCCGCCCACAGUUGGUGCUUUUGGACAUACGAGGUGCAGUGCCUUCCCCUUGGAGCAGGAGGCAGACCUCAUAGAAGCCGCCGAGCCGGGCAGUCCACACAACAGCAGAAAUGGGCUCUGCCAUCCUCUGAGUCACAGCAGGACCCUGGCAGGCAAGAGACCAAAGGCCCCCCGUGGGGAGGAAGCUCAUCUGCCACCUGUCUCUGAUUUGACUGUUGAGUUUGAUAAACUGAAUUUGCAAAAUGUAGGAAGUAGCGUUUCUAAGACACCAGAUGAAAAUACGAAAACUAAAGAUAAGAUCCUGACUUCAAGAAUCAAUGCAGUAGAAAGAGACUUGUUAGAGCCGCCUUCUCCCACAGACCAACUCGGGAAUGGCCACAGGAGGACAGAAAGUGAAAUGUCAGCCAGGAUUGCUAAAAUGUCCUUGAGUCCCAGCAGCCCCAGGCACGAGGAUCAGCUUGAGGUCACGAGGGAACCGGCCAGGCGGCUCUUCCUUUUUGGAGAGGAGCCGUCAAAACUUGAUCAGGAUGUUUUGGCCGCUCUUGAAUGUGCAGAUGUCGACCCCCAUCAGUUCCCGGCUGUGCACAGAUGGAAGAGUGCUGUCCUGUGCUACUCACCCUCGGACAGACAGAGUUGGCCCAGUCCUGCAGUGAAAGGAAAGUUCAAGUCUCAGCUGCCAGAUCUCAGUGGCCCUCACAGCUACAGUCCGGGGAGAAACAGCGUGGCUGGAAGCAACCCCGCAAAGCCAGGCCUGGGCAGUCCUGGGCGCUACAGCCCCGUGCACGGGAGCCAGCUCCGCAGGAUGGCGCGCCUGGCUGAGCUUGCCGCCCUGUAGGCUCGGCGCUGGGCUCUCGGUUUGUUCUUCAUUUUUAAAGAAGGAAGGGUCAUAUGUUUAUUGCUAAACUAUCAAAAAGGAAUAUAUUCUGAUUAAAUUAUUACUUCUCACUUUGAGGGUGUGAGAAUUUUAGAUUUAAAUGUUCUAUAUAAAACUUAGAUUUCUGAUAUUUUGGAAGAAGUUAGAAGUUAAUGAAAGCAAACUCAGAUACCAAUUUUCUGGAAAAUAUCCAUGUGGUAAUAGCAGACUUUUUAGGUGGCAAUUUCUAGGUCUGAAAUGUAGCAGAGGAAAGGGUGCUGAGGCAGUUGCAGACAGGCAGCCCCGUACUCACCUCAUCCGACAGACACUGUGGACGAGGAGGGGCUUGGCGGAGGCGUGAGCACCGAUGUCCCCGCGAUACCUGCGCUCACCAAGAUGAACUGUUUGCCACCCUGUCUUUUCCUUGGGGGGGUGGUGGCAUCUGAUGGUGGCAGAGUCCCUGUUGGUUUGCCCGUGGGUCUCACGGUUCAGACAGAGUGAGGUGGACGGCAGGGAUCAGGGAGCCAGGAGUGCGCCUCAGACUCGCAGCAACCAUUAUGAUUUGGGUUGUUCGGAAUAUUUAAAUUACUGAUCAGAAGAUAAAAGUAGCUUUUCUCUUGGGAAGUCUUGCAGCCCGUGGGAGUGAUGCCAGGAGCCACACAGAGCUCAGCAGCAGUGGCGCCAAGGUGUUCCCUGUUUCCUCAGCACGUGAGCCUUCACCGCCUGCUUCAUGCAGGGGCCAGUGUAGCAGUAAUACAAUCUACAAAUUGUUGUGUUUUGAAAUUUAUCCUUAGGCUUUGUUGAGCAUAAAUGAUUAUACGAUAAAGGUAUCCUUUAUUUUGGAACUCAUUUCAGCUGGGAUCUCCUGUAUGCAGAGUGUUGCAUUUAGAGGUUUGAGUCCCAUCUUGGUUUCUUGCCGUGUUGACUGUAGCCUUCACCUUGGCUUGAAUGAAGGUCUGUGGUUGGAAUGUGUGAGGAACCGCUGAGGUGCUCAGGAGGUGCUAACUGGAGGUCGGUUUCUUCCUGGGUGUUACGGGCAACUGCUCACACAGUUGUUUCUGUGUGAACAUUUCCAGUGUUUAAUCCAAAAUGAAAACCCACCAAUGCUUUUGCUAACUUCAGUGCCUUUUAUAAAUCAUUUUUAAAUUUCCUGAACUUGCUUUUUGAGGAUAUACAGUGAUAUUAAGUAGACGCAGGAUUGUUUUUGUUUGUAAAAAUUUCUGAAUUGAAACUUUGUUUAAAAAAAGGCUUAUUUCUUUCAUAUGACAAGAGACAGGUCAGGAAUAUUGGAAUCAAGAUUUAAAUAUUAAAAUUCGAUUUUGUUACACAGGGUGUCUUUAUUUGUUUUGUAGCAGACAAGAUCUAGAUCCCAGACAGAAACAACACAUGCUAUUAUUCUAAAAAGCAGCAUUUUAUAAGGCACCUUGGUUCUCAAAAGAAAUCAGAAUAUGGAUAUUCGUAGUGAUGAUCUGUUUUCUCUAAAAUCUUACCAUAUUGUCUGUAUAUGGUUGUAAAUUCAAAUGGAAAGUAAAAGGUUUUGGCCCUGA
rnacentral:sRNA from 1 species